rnacentral:tRNA from 1 species
CAUUAGAUGUCUGAAAUGCAAGAAUUGGUCUCUUAAACCAUAUAAUAGUAUAUAAGCGAAUACUUCUAAUGA